AAUGACAGAUUGUUUUUACUUCUUUAUCAUACAAAUUAUUCUUAUAUGUCAUAAAUUUAAAUAAAUUAUUAACUAUUUAAUUAAGUUGGUAAUCAUUAAAAGUUUAUCAGUGAUUGGUUACGGGAAUAAUUAAUUGGUUGAGUUAAAUUGUUUAAAUAAUAAUUAAGAGUUUGAGAUGGUGAAAAAUUUAGUCAGUUUGCUGAUAGGAAUCUCCAGUUUUUUUUAUACAUUUUAUGUUAUUUAUUAUUUAAUAUAUUUUACUUCCGGUCAUAAUGAAAAUCACGAGGCUAUUCAAACUACAGAAGAUGAGUUGCUCAUGACAAUCAUCAGGAAACUCUUGAUAAAUCUUUAUCUGUUGUUUGUAUUCAUGAUCCAGCAUUCUGUGAUGGCCAGUAAAUUUGUCAAAAGUCUUUAUAAAAAAUUAUUUAUACCAGAAUACGAAAGAAGUAUUUACAAUGCACUGAGUUCAUUGUGUCUGGAUUAUUUGAUAAGAAACUGGGAACCUGUGCCUUGGAUCGCUUUGUGGGAAGUUGAUACGGCUUCGAAUAAUUACAUGUGGAUUUUAUUUUCUGCUUUACAUUUAUUUGGAUGGUCUGUAAUAUUCAGUGGGUGUUGCGUGUUGGAUGUUACCGAGUUGUUGGGAUUAAAACAAAUUUACUGCAAAUUAAUUAAUCAACCUGGUGGGUUGGCUGUAAAGUCCAAAGAGUACCAAAGAUAUUUGGAUCAUAUGAGACAUCCUAGUUUCGUUGGUUUUAUGAUCAUCUUUUGGAUUCAUCCAUAUAUGACCAUCGAUCGGUUUCUACUGUCAUCUAUAAUGACAAUUUAUAUGUUGAUGAUGUGGAAAAUAGAUGAAAAUGAUUAUUAUUAUGCGAGUAAUGUUUAUUACAAAGAGGAACAAUUAUUCAAGUUUCAAUAAAUUUUAAAUUUAUUUAAAUAUGCACUUGUACCUGCUAAUUUAAAGAAUAUAUGGAUAGGAAGCUGAUGAUGUGAUUUGUAUCAAAAGUGCAGUGCCCUUGAGAAUCCAAUAAGAAUUUUUCUGAGACGAUGGUAAUAAAAUAGGAG